ACAAUAACUUAAUAGUCCAAGUAUUCAACAUCCUGUGUCACGUGGACACAGGUCUAGAACAUUUCCAAAUUGCGGGACUGUUUCCUGCAAACCGCUUCUGUUGGAGCUGUGAAGACAUGUCGGCUGAUGGAGAUGUGAAUUUCCCCCACUCCCUUUCAUAUUCUCAAAUUGCAGAAAAAACUCCAAGUGUGAUGACUGUAAAGCAACCAUGGAUCACCCUUCGACGAAAAGAAGUGGUGGAGGAAAAACCUGCUAUUUGCCAACUAGUGGAACGAUGGCCUGCUCUUUUCCUAGAAAAUCAGAAUUGUUGGGAUUGAUUUGCAGCAGUGCUUUUAUGGAGGCCUUGAUCAACACAACUCGUGACUCAUUGAAGUUUUCAGAAUCAAGAGGGGACUUACUGGACAAAUUUUGUCAAGAUGUUUACAGCAAGCCAAGACCUCAGAGCCAACUGUCCAAUGAACCCUAGCAUUAAGAGGACAGAAGAUUUCUUCAAGACAUGCAUUGAUGCGAAUGAAGAGGAGACGAUUAGCAGUAUUGCUACUGGGAUCCUCAUUGUGGAGCGUGAUGAAGGAGGACACAAUCCCAACUCCCUUUGCUUGAAUCCAUUGUCAGUGGGGAUCAUUCUUGUUUUCUUUCAUUUACAUUCUUAAAUGUAAGAUCUUGAGUACAGGUAGAAAUAAAUGUGGCUCUGUAUCAACACUUUUUUUUCUUAUUGUAUGCACAGUUGCUGUGAUGUUUAAUGGCUCAGUGUAUGUGUCUGUACCAAGUACAUAGCACUACUUAUCCUGUGGGUUUGCAACAUAAUUUAUUAGUUUUUAUGUUUCUUGCUUAGACGUUUGAAUUAAAGUGAAGUGUGCAAUCAACCAAAUGUUUAAGGUUAAUUUGCACAACCUUGACCUUGGAAAUUGAUAUUUGUUGUCUUGUUUUCUCCCAGUUGUGUGAAACUGCUGCUUUUUUCCAAUAAAUAUUUGAUAGAUUGAA